UCUGGGAUUACAGGCGUGCACCACCAUGCCCGUCCCCUUUCCAGUAUUUCUGACUUUAAAAAAGUAGUCAGCUUCUUCUUAAAUUAUGGUAAAAGCAUACAAAAGUAUGCACCAAUUUUCUUAAAUAAGAUCAGUGUGUACUGAUGUGUGAAUAUGUAAAGGCUAAGUGUGGGGAAAAGCAUAUUUAGUAUUUUAAACCAUUUGUGGAAAAAACACAUACACAUCUAUGUGUUUCUAUAUGCAUAGAAUAUUCCUGGAAAAAAGAACAGAAAACUGUUGAUUGUAUAUCCAGAAUAGAGAUAACUUUUCCCUUUGCAAUUUAUACCUUUAAGUAUAGUUUGAAUGUUUUAUCCAAGAAUGCUUUACUUUUAUAAUAACAAAAAUACUAAUAUAAACAUAAUGAAUAUAUUCAUUUUCCCUACCCCACUUCGAAACUUCAGCUCUCCCAACUCCAGAACAACUUCCUGUAGUUACAACAGUAUACCUGGCAAGAGAAACACCUGUUAAGCAUGGGCCAAAUAAAGCUUGGCAAUUAUGAGUAACCAACUUUUCAUUAUAUGCUCAUCUUGCUCCCUUUCGUGAUUAUGUUUUAAAAGGGCAAAUUUUGCAAGAAACUGCAAUGCAAAGAAGGACAUUUUUAAUUUCAUACUUUUAAGAUAUGUAUACUUAUAGAUUCAACUCUUUCUAUUAUUUGUUUCACAUUUGCCUUCGUCUUAAUGUGUAAGUUCAGGGACCCUAAGAUAUGAAACACAUAGUGCCUGUUGCAUACAGAAUGUAAAUUAAUGUUUGUCAAAUAAAUAUAGAAUGGAUUGUUAUCACUGAGAAGUGAUGUGUUGUCCUUGGAAACAAAGAUGACUAUCCAGCAUCUGUGGAGCAUAUGUUUUUUCAGUAGGAGAAUGGAUCUGUGCCAGUUCUCCAUCUCAGCUUCUGAUUUACAAGGUUAUAGUUUUGGAUGGCCUGAAUUAAAGGUGCAGUGUUCAAGUACAAAGAGAUAAGCUUAUCUAGAGGCUGAACCCAACAUGUGUUGACCUUAACCAAAUUCACCAGUUAAAGGAUACAAGUGUAUUAGGAGUUCAGUAGUAACAAUAGUGGCUGGAGACCCAGGACUGAUGAGUUCUAGUCCCUACUAUCACUAAGUGCUUUGUAGCCUUAGACAAGUAAGUGAUUUACCCAUUUUCUUAUGUUUAAAAUGAGGGGCUUGAACUAGAUAACAUCUAGGUCCAUUCAUAGCUGCAAAAUUCUAAUUCUAAAUUUAAUGAUGAGCCAGAAGCAAUGGCCCAUACCUACAGUCCCAGCUACUGAGGUGGCUAAAGUGGGAGGAUCUCUUGAGCCCAGGAGUUUAAGACCAGCCUGGGCAACACAGCAAGACGCUAUCUCUAAUAGAUAAAUAAAAUGUAAUGAUGAAAUUUUCCCUCUUCCAUCUUAUAUACUAUAGAUAUAUAUAUUCAUGAAGAGUAAGUCAUACACAAAUAAGAUAGACAAGGAUUCGUUGACAAAAAUGUGAAAUUUAAGAUACAUCAUUUCUAGUCACAUUACAUAUACAUUAUGCUUUUACUGUAAAAUAAAAUGUAGAUAUUUUCCAUACAAGAAAAAUAUCAGGCUAAUAUGCUGGCAGUAGAUUAUAAGGGAAAGAAUCCUAAUUCAAGUAAGAUAAAAUAUAAAAGAUUUGAUUAGAAUCCAAAAUACCAGCAAAAGCAGACUUAUUGAUCUGAAACAGUUUUUAAAAUAUUCUGAGAGAAAAGAAAUCCAUGAAACAAGGAUACCAAGGACGUGAAGAAUAGAGUUGGAAAAUGAAGUUUAAAAAAGAUAUGUUUAUAAUGUGAAGUUUUAAAAUUUAGCCAAAGCAUAGAUAGUUAAAGAUUAAGACAUACUGCCAGAGUGUAAUUAUUAAAGUGGUAGACAUUUACAUAAAUAAAUAUCCUCUUAGAACUCUAAAUAGUCAACCUAUUUAACUAGUUUUAAGAUCAAAAGUAUCCUUUUGAACACAUCAGGAACUGAAGUAACGCAAGGUUAAAUGACUUGUACAAAGUUCUCAGUGACUUAUCAGUGAAAUUGGCACAUUGACUCUAAAACUCUUGUCACCAACUCUUAUGUUCCAACUAUUGACCAGUAUCCAAACUUAAGGAUUCCUUUUUUUUUUUUUUCUUUGACAAAGAGCAAAUUGAAAUCAGAAAUGGGAGUAAAAUGGAAGGUUCCAGAAACCAGCGUAUUCACAACUCAGGUCAAUGAAGACUUUCUUCAUCUCUCCUCCUUGUUCCAUCACCCAUCCAUUGCCUACUCCUUCCUAAUUCAGAUCCUUUUCAGGUUUACAGAAAUCACUGUCUGCUGACACAAAACCUCUAGGCUUGUUCAAGAAUGAGACCUACAUUUGUUUAUUUUAUAGGUAAUUGUGCAUUUUUUCAUCCUACAUCUCAAGAGACCGAGGGACAUAAGUAAAUUGAUCUACUUGCCAAUGACUAUAAGGACAAAGAAGUUGUAAAAACAUCUAAAUGAUGUUAAACAUAAAUUAGCUCAGAAUAGGUUUGAAGAAGGAAAACUAACAGGGUCAAAGCAUGCAAUAAAAACUGAUGUGCCAUUAACUAUAGGUCCCCAUGAAUGGCAUCAAUUUCAAUGUAUCAUGUUGUAUCCAUCAAAACGAAACUUCGGAGACCAGCCCUGUAAUUGAACCCUGGACAUGGAUGUGAAAGUGGACAGAAAUUAAUACCUUAGUGAACUAAAACCUUAUGGCUUUUGUGUGGUCCAGACAAGUCCUGUUAAGGGCAAUUAAGUUCAGAAAUGCACCUUUUCUAUCAAAAACAUCCUAGUCUUUCCUCCCAGGCCUUUUGACAGUUCAUCUGAAUUCACAUGUCUAUUCUAAUCAAGCAUUUACAAACCAAAAAGAAAAAGUAUCUAUAGAAGUCAUAUUGAUAGCAUCAUUGCACAUAUGACAUUCUCUAGCUAAAAUAAUUCAAUAUUUGUAAUUAUAAAAUGUUACUAUCAUAACUUAUGGUUUUAUAAUAGGCUAUGAAUUAAUGAUCUCAUUUUAUCUUAUACUACCCCAAGAGGCAUUAUUAUUAUCACGAGGUUACACAAGAAAAUGGGCCUAGAAAUGCCAAAAGUAUGCCCAAGAUCAUUACACAGGUUCCAGUUCUAGAUUGACACACACUUGUUUGUCAAAAAGUUUCCUUUUAUAAAGCAUUUUUAUCGCAUGAUGGUGGUCACUUCUUUUUCUUUUGAUAUACUUUGGGUAUAAUCACGAUUGUCCUUAUUGUAUAAAAAGGAACUAUUCUGAAGCAAAGAGAGUUCAAGAAAGUGGCCAUAGUCGACAGGUUAAUAAAUGCAUCCAAACUUUUAAAUUACAACACUGUAUUUUGCUUUUUCCUAUGUUAGAGGAAAGAAAUUAAAAAGUGUGGUAUUGAAAGAUGUACAACUGACUUUGAAAAAGGGUUCCUCUCUGAUUGGUGUUUGUAAGUGAUCUAAAUAAACAUUUUUAAACUAUCA